CGUGCCUUUAAUAACUAUGAUUACCGACAAAGAUUGAAAUUGAAGACAUAAUUUUUUCAAGAUAGAUAAGAAAGGAUGACCCAAUCUACAAUGAACUUCAAGAGGAGUUAAGGUACUGGAGCAAGCAAGAGAUCGCGAUUCACGUUUAUUAAGGAUGUAGAGACCACCUGAUUCAUGCCCUUUAUCAAUAAUCUUCUUCGUCGUAAGAUCCUGAAAUAAAUAAUGAUUAGGAAAAAUAGAAAUAUAACAAUUUAAGUUUCGAGUGAAUUUACUAAAAGAGAGUAAAUUAAAAGAGAAGCUAGGUAGACAUAAGACAAAUGACAAAGAUAUGAUGUUGUUGGAUUCAUAGUUCCAGAACCUAUAACACACGAAGUAGAUCCAUCAGCUAAAGUAACUGUGGAACGAGUAGUAAAAGACUAAAAAUCAGAUAAAAGAUCAGAAUUACCGGUCAUAUGAUCUGUAGCACCAAAAUCAAUGACCCAUUUGGACGAAGAGGACACAAGGCAUGUAGUGGAUUUAUCUGACUCAGCGAUAGCAGUAAUUGAGGAAUUGGUAGACUUUAGAUAUGUCUGAUACUGGGAGAACUGUUCAAAUUCUUCUGCAGACACUGAGAUAGUUUUCUCAGAGGAGGAAGACAUUGUAGAAUUUUCUACUACCAUAUUUGCCACCUAGGAUCACUGAUUUUUCUUCUGAAGUUUCAAACAGUUACAUUUUGUGCAUCCAGGCUCAUUGCAAUAAUAACAAAUGACUUCUCCUGAGUGAUUAUUAGAACUAGCAUCCCCAUUA
rnacentral:misc_RNA from 1 species